AAUUUAUCCCAAAAACCGUUUUUAUGCGGUUCACCAAAGUUUUUAGCAGUUUACUACAUCUCUUCUCCAUCCCAUCUUUGUAGGUUCACGUUUCCCCUCCACGUUUGCCCGAUUUCUCCUCCCCAACUACCCUAGGCCACCCAUUAUAAAUCCUCCACUGCACAUAACCUCCGUGUACAGUUAUAUACACAUAAAUAAACACAAUCUUCCCUCAUGUUUGGUCUAUGAGAACCACAAACGCCCACCACCUGCUGCAGCCAAUCUAAAUCACAACCCCUGCAAAGUUGAAUCAGUGGGCUGGUCAUUAAAGGGUUCUUCAGUCGCAACUCGUUUAUCACUAGGACGUCUUCUACUAAUUUAGUUCACCUCCAGUGAGUUCAAGGACGCUGCCAGGCUACUCGGUAAAGCUAGAGAAACUUCAUUGGCUCUAGGUUUGACCAGAGAAAUUUGAAACCGUCUGGAGCAGAAGAAACCAAAAUGGCCAUUUCCAUGAAAAUGGUCAUUUCCAUAGCAAGGCAAGGCAUGGAAAUCGUUUCCUCAAACCCUCUUGUCCUCUUUAGGGUAAGUACAAAAAAAGAUGAGGUAGAGAUCGAGGAGUAAGGACUUUGAUGUUGUAGUUGAUGACCCGAUCCAGAUGAAGGCCUUCACACAACGUGCAAAUGAAAAGUUUCAGAAUCUGCAAAAGGUUACUUCAAUACUUGGUGAUGAGGGGAUUCAAGCAGUAAUGAUCAGACUGGAUGUGUUGAUGAUGUAGUGAGUAUUGUCAACAUCAUAUCAUAUAUUCAUAUUAUCCUGAGCUUUGUUUAUUUAAUGCGUUUUAUUAUGUUUUAUUUUUUUUUCUCUACUAACAUGAUCUUGCUGGGAAUGUGUUCCAAACUUUGAGUGAUUUCUUUCGGUUUAUGUAUAAAAAGCUUUCAGAGCUUCAUCACUUCCCUUAAUGAUCCAGUCAACAAAAGCAAAUAUUCUUACUAUUGGAGCCUUAUGAUACCUGGGAUUGGAGGUUUGAUAGCCAAGGAUAUGGAGAACAGUUAUUUUUAUUUCGUUGGCUUUCAGCUGUAGGGCUUACUUGUGGCUCAACUGCUCUUCUUGUAGUUCAAGAUCCACAUUGGUGGUCGUUUUUGUUUUAAUGAAACUUGCUGGAGGAUGCACAUCAUUGGCUGAUCAAUUAAAUGUGGAUGCUACUUUAUAACAACUCCGAUCAUAUAAACAGUAGGAUGGCAUAUAAGAAAGCAUUGUGAUACUUGAUUCCAUGUUCAGCACUUGCUUCGUAAGCUUGAAAGCGAGUCAUGCAUCGGAAAGACGUUAAUCUCUUUACAAGUCAUUUAUGAUUUCUUUGGUUUGGGCUAUCGAAAACCCACUGUUUGGGUGGGAGUGGUUAUGGGAUUCUGUUGCUGAAGGCCCAGGUUUGGGUUCUAUGGGUUCUCUUUAGGCUUGGAAGUGGAUCUGAUGUGAGGUAGAUGAACAAUUUUGGCACAUUACACUGGGCUGGCUUAGUGUACGUUACAGUUGGGUUUUGUAUUUGCUAUAUUGGCCCGGGUCCUAUAGGGGAGUCAAAGGCUAAGUCUGGGUUGGAAGGCAUGAUGUUGCCUGAAUUUUGGGUUAAGGUGGCGGCCCAGGUGCUGUGUAAAUGACCCGUGAAGAACAUGGCCCAUUGUAUGUAUUUGGGCUCAGGAAUAAAAUGUAUGCUGAAGGCCCAUUUAUGGGUUAAUUGGAGAGUAGUUGGGCCCGGUCUAUUGAAGGCCCAAGAAGUUUGGCUAGCGGUUCAUGGCUGUCUCAAGUGGGGAGGGGACACCUUAUGCAAGCCGAUUAAAGACGAUUAUGACAAAUGCACCAUGGGUAUGCGUUGUGAGGACAAGAAAUUCUAUGAGCUUUGUAACUUUGAUAGGUUAGGAGAGUAUACGUGUAUUACUCAAAGUAAUGUUCGAUUCUUUUGUACCCCAAGACGGGGUUGUAUGGUUUCUUUUUUUGUCCCCAAAGCCUGUUUUUGGGGAUGAUAUGGGGGUAUGCCCCCUUGAUGGUGUAAUUUCUGUUUCAUGGUUUUUUAUAUAGUUUGUUGGGCGAUGCCCUUUAUCCAAAAAAAAAUGUUGAAGGUAA